rnacentral:rRNA from 1 species
GCAUAUAAGUAAGCGGAGGAAAAGGAACUAAACAGGAUUCCCUUAGUAAUGGCGAACGAACAGGGAUCAGCUUGGGUUGGAAACCGGGGCUUCUGCCUUGGAUUGUGGCCUUUAGACAUACUACCAACGGCGGCGCGAGCGUAAGCCUCUUGGAACAGAGCGUCUACGUGGGUGAGAAUCCUGUGUUUCGCUUGAUGCCCGCCGUGCACGGUACUUGCUCUCAGAGUCACGCUCCUCGGAAUUGGAGCGUAAAUUGGGUGGUAAAUUUCAUCUAAAGCUAAAUACAGGCUCGAGACCGAUAGCAAACAAGUACCAUGAGGGAAAGAUGAAAAGGACUUUGAAAAGAGAGUUAAAAGUGCUUGAAAUCGCUGAACUGGAAGCGAAUGGAACUAGUGCUCUGGUUGAGAUUGCUGUAAAUGGCUGCGACAUCUGGGCUCUGGAACGCAAGUCCUUUGUCUGGCUUGAAGUAGUCGCUUGCAAUGUGUCUCAGCUUGAACAUCAACUUCUAUGCAUACGUGAGGAUGGCCCUUGGCUCAUGCUGUGUUGCUGUGGCGAUACUCUUGUGCUUCUGGGGAUUCAGGUGUGUGUGGA